UCCGUAGGUGAACCUGCGGAAGGAUCAUUAAUGAUUGAACGUCUGUCGAGCUUGCUCACAGACUUAUCAUAUCCAUAACACCUGUGCACUUGUCGGAUGGCUUAGUGAAGACCGCAAGGUUGGAUCUAUCCGUCUACUUUACAUAACAAUCCUGUAACAAAUGUAGUCUUAUUAUAACAUAAUAAAACUUUCAACAACGGAUCUCUUGGCUCUCGCAUCGAUGAAGAACGCAGCGAAAUGCGAUACGUAAUGUGAAUUGCAAAUUCAGUGAAUCAUCGAGUCUUUGAACGCACAUUGCGCCCCCUGGUAUUCCGGGGGGCAUGCCUGCCCGAGCGUCAUUUCUGCCCUCAAGCACGGCUUGUGUGUUGGGCCCCGUCCUCCGAUCCCGGGGGACGGGCCCGAAAGGCAGCGGCGGCACCGCGUCCGGUCCUCGAGCGUAUGGGGCUUUGUCACCCGCUCUGUAGGCCCGGCCGGCGCUUGCCGAUCAACCCAAAUUUUUAUCCAGGUUGACCUCGGAUCAGGUAGGGAUACCCGCUGAACUUAAGCAUAUCAAUAAGCGGAGGAA
rnacentral:rRNA from 1 species